rnacentral:misc_RNA from 1 species
AAAUAAUCGGACAUCGCCUUUCGGAAGCGCUUUUUGUAUUGCUUAGGCGAAACCACAGUGGGGGAUACAUUUUUCGGCCCACCCAAAAUUCCUGAUGCUUUCACCCAUGUCUCGAGAUGCUUGUCCCAAGUAUACUGUCGCAUGAAGUCGAUGAUACCCAAAACAAGUUCAUGCUUCUUCUCGUCUACCCCCACCAACAACGAG